rnacentral:rRNA from 1 species
GACUUUGAUCCUGGCUCAGAAUCAACGCUGGCGGCGCGCCUAACACAUGCAAGUCGAACGAGAAAGCGGGAGCAAUCUCGCAAGUAAAGUGGCGUACGGGUGAGUAACACGUGGAUCAUCUGCCCUAGAGUGGGGAAUAACGCUGGGAAACCGGCGCUGAUACCGCAUAUUCCCGAGAGGGGAAAGCAGCAAUGCGCUCUAAGGAGGAGUCCGCGGCCGAUUAGCUAGUUGGCAGGGUAAAAGCCUACCAAGGCUGUGAUCGGUAGCCGGCCUGAGAGGGCACACGGCCACACUGGCACUGAAACACGGGCCAGACUCCUACGGGAGGCAGCAGUGGGGAAUCUUGCACAAUGGGGGAAACCCUGAUGCAGCGACGCCGCGUGAGCGAUGAAGCCCUUCGGGGUGUAAAGCUCUUUCGGCAGGGAAGAUUAUGACGGUACCUGCAGAAGCAGCUGCGGCUAACUACGUGCCAGCAGCCGCGGUAAUACGUAGGCAGCAAGCGUUGUUCGGAGUUACUGGGCGUAAAGGGUGUGUAGGCGGCCUAUUAAGUUCCGUGUGAAAUCUCCCGGCUCAACCGGGAGGGUGCGCGGAAUACUGACGGGCUAGAGUGCGGGAUGGGAGAGUAGAAUUCCUGGUGUAGCGGUGAAAUGCGUAGAUAUCAGGAGGAAUACCGGUGGUGUAGACGGCUCUCUGGACCGCAACUGACGCUGAGACACGAAAGCGUGGGUAGCAAACAGGAUUAGAUACCCUGGUAGUCCACGCCCUAAACGAUGCAUAUUUGGUGUAGGUCAUUCAGUUGAUCUGUGCCGGAGCUAACGCGUUAAAUAUGCCGCCUGGGGAGUACAGUCGCAAGGCUGAAACUCAAAGGAAUUGACGGGGGCCCGCACAAGCGGUGGAGCAUGUGGUUCAAUUCGACGCAACGCGAAGAACCUUACCCAGGCUUGAACAGCGAGUGACCCCUCCUGAAAGGGAGCUUCCGCAAGGACACUCGUAGAGGUGCUGCAUGGCUGUCGUCAGCUCGUGUCGUGAGAUGUUGGGUUAAGUCCCGCAACGAGCGCAACCCUUGUCUGCUGUUGCCAUCAGGUUAUGCUGGGCACUCUGCAGAGACUGCCGGUGAUAAACCGGAGGAAGGUGGGGAUGACGUCAAGUCAGCAUGGCCUUUAUGUCUGGGGCUACACACGUGCUACAAUGGCAGAUACAAACCGUCGCGAGACCGCAAGGUGGAGCUAAUCGGAUAAAGUCUGUCUCAGUUCGGAUAGCAGGCUGCAACUCGCCUGCUUGAAGUUGGAAUCGCUAGUAAUGGCAGAUCAGCACGCUGCCGUGAAUACGUUCCCGGGCCUUGUACACAC